rnacentral:rRNA from 1 species
AUUGAACGCUGGCGGCGUGCCUAACACAUGCAAGUCGAGCGGUAACAGGUGUAGCAAUACAUGCUGACGAGCGGCGAACGGGUGAGUAAUGCUUUGGAAUCUUCCCAGUAGUGGGGAAUAACCAGUCGAAAGAUUGGCUAAUACCGCAUACGUCUGUAAAGGGAAAGCGGGGGACUCGCCUCUUCUUCGGAAGAGAGGCCUCGCGCUAUUGGAUGAGCCAAAGCGGAUUAGCUAGUUGGUGGGGUAAUGGCCUACCAAGGCGACAAUCCGUAGCUGGUCUGAGAGGACGACCAGCCACACCGGAACUGAGACACGGCCCGGACUCCUACGGGAGGCAGCAGUGGGGAAUAUUGGACAAUGGGGAAACCCUGAUCCAGCGACGCCGCGUGUGUGAAGAAGGCCUGGCGGGUUGUAAAGCACUUUUAGUGGGGACAAAAGACUACGGAUUAAUACUCUGUGGUCUUGAUUUAACCUACAAGAAAAGACACCGGCUAACUCUGUGCCAGCA